GAUGAACGCUAGCGGGAGGCUUAACACAUGCAAGCCGAGGGGUAUGUUCUUUCGGGAGACAGAGACCGGCGCACGGGUGCGUAACGCGUAUGUAACUUGCCCCAUUCACUGGGAUAGCCCUUCGAAAGGAGGAUUAAUACCGGAUAUCACUAAGAUCGGCAUCGGUUUUGGUUGAAAGAUUUAUCGGAAUGGGAUAGACAUGCGUCAGAUUAGUUAGUUGGUGAGGUAACGGCUCACCAAGGCGACGAUCUGUAGGGGGCCUGAGAGGGUGAACCCCCACACUGGUACUGAGACACGGACCAGACUCCUACGGGAGGCAGCAGUGAGGAAUAUUGGACAAUGGGUGAGAGCCUGAUCCAGCCAUCCCGCGUGCAGGAAGACGGCCCUAUGGGUUGUAAACUGCUUUUGUAUGGGAAUAAACCACCUUUCGUGAAGGGUGUUGAAGGUACCAUACGAAUAAGCACCGGCUAACUCCGUG
rnacentral:rRNA from 1 species